rnacentral:lncRNA from 1 species
AUGAGAUCCUGAGUGAAGUCUACAAUGUCAUUGACUCUGAAGAAGGACUCAGAGACCCAUUGGUGUUUAAUGACCCUUACUGGCCUCUGCAAUGGGAACUGGUAGAAAGAAGAAAAGAAAGCAGGAAAGAUUGGAAAGAUAAAGGAAGUCUUUCAGGUGAAGGCUUGACUUUGCUACACAAUUAAAAAUUUGCAGCUAAUAAUGCUAAGAACCAGUGAAAUAAAUUAUUUGUGUUUGGUAAGUGAGAAGUAUGUUUGAUAAAUAUUUUCUUAUUGGAAUAAACUCUAAUGCUCAUGUUUUACCUGUAAUUUCAUUUAAGAUGCCUAAAACAUUUCUAAGCAUCUCUAUUGUUUUGUCCAAAACUGAUUUGUAUCUUAGCCACCCG